rnacentral:rRNA from 1 species
GAUGAACGCUGGCGGCGUGCUUAACACAUGCAAGUCGAGCGAAGCACUCUGUCCGGAUUCUUUCGGGAUGACGGACUUAGUGACUGAGCGGCGGACGGGUGAGUAACGCGUGGGUAACCUGCCUCAUACAGGGGGAUAACAGUUAGAAAUGACUGCUAAUACCGCAUAAGACCACAGUACCGCAUGGUACAGGGGUAAAAACUCCGGUGGUAUGAGAUGGACCCGCGUCUGAUUAGCUGGUUGGUGGGGUAACGGCCUACCAAGGCGACGAUCAGUAGCCGGCCUGAGAGGGCGACCGG